rnacentral:tRNA from 1 species
UCUCAUGUAGCUCAAUGGUAGAGCAGUUGAUUGCAGAUCAAAAGGUCAUGGGUUCGAUUCCCAUUAUGAGUU